ensembl:lncRNA
UGGUCCUGCAAAUAUGUAAUAAAACCCAGAGGGGAGGCAGAGGCAAAGGGGUAUUAUCUCCAUGUCCCAGACUGCUUUGCCUCACCCUCCAGGCCUCUUGUAUCAGUAGGACUGGAUAGAGCAGGUCUAGGACACCAGCCCCUACCACACCAACCACCUCUCCUCUGUGUGAUCUGAUCCUCAGGGGCCUCCGUAGUUCACCCUACUAGCUCACACCGUCUCACGUCAGAAUUAGACGUUCAUCCAUGUUUCUCAAACGUCACAUUUCAAAGUGUUUGAGGUUGUUAAGUUUAGGUGUUAACUCCAAAUUCUUAAGGUUAGGCAUUCAUCCUGAAUGGUUCAUGCAACGAUUAAGGUUAGGCAUUCAUCCUGAAUGGUUCAUGCAACGAUUAAGGUUAGUCAUUCAUCCUGAAUGGUUCAUGCAACGAUUAAGGUUAGUCAUUCAUCCUGAAUGGUUCAUGCAACGAUUAAGGUUAGGCAUUCAUCCUGAAUGGUUCAUGCAACGAUUAAGGUUUGGCAUUCAUCCUGAAUGGUUCAUGCAACGAUUAAGGUUAGGUAUUCAUCCUGAA